rnacentral:tRNA from 1 species
GGCCUCGUAGCUCAGCUGGAUAGAGCGACCGCCUCCUAAGCGGUAGGUCACAGGUUCAAAUCCUGUCGGGGUCACCA